AUACUGCGUGGAUCCUCUCAGUGCAGCCAUAUUAAGGUGAAACCGCGAAUGGCUCAUUAAAUCAGUUAUGGUUUCUUAGAUCGUACCCACAUUUACUUGGAUAACUGUGGUAAUUCUAGAGCUAAUACAUGCAAACAGAGUUCCGACCAGAGAUGGGAGGAAUGCUUUUAUUAGAUCAAAACCAAUCGGUGGCGGGUUCGUCCCGUCCGCCGUUUACUUUGGUGACUCUGAAUAACUUUGGGCUGAUCGCACGGUCUUGGUACCGGCGACGCAUCUUUCAAAUGUCUGCCUUAUCAACUGUCGAUGGUAGGUUCUGCGCCUACCAUGGUUGUAACGGGUAACGGGGAAUCAGGGUUCGAUUCCGGAGAGGGAGCCUGAGAAACGGCUACCACAUCCAAGGAAGGCAGCAGGCGCGCAAAUUACCCACUCCCGGCACGGGGAGGUAGUGACGAAAAAUAACGAUACGGGACUCAUCCGAGGCCCCGUAAUCGGAAUGAGUACACUUUAAAUCCUUUAACGAGGAUCAAUUGGAGGGCAAGUCUGGUGCCAGCAGCCGCGGUAAUUCCAGCUCCAAUAGCGUAUAUUAAAGUUGUUGCGGUUAAAAAGCUCGUAGUUGAAUCUGUGUCCCACGCUGUCGGUUCACCGCUCGCGGUGUUUAACUGGCAUGAUUGUGGGACGUCCUACCGGUGGGCUUAGCCUUUCGGGGCGGCCCAACUAAUAUCCCAUCGCGGUGCUCUUCAUUGAGUGUCGAGGUGGGCCGGUACGUUUACUUUGAACAAAUUAGAGUGCUUAAAGCACGCUAUUUUCGCCUGAAUACUGUGUGCAUGGAAUAAUGGAAAUAGGACCUCGGUUCUAUUUUGUUGGUUUUCGGAACCCCGAGGUAAUGAUUAAUAGGAACAGAUGGGGGCAUUCGUAUUGCGACGUUAGAGGUGAAAUUCUUGGAUCGUCGCAAGACGGACAGAGCGAAAGCAUUUGCAAAAUGUUUUCUUUAAUCAAGACGAAAGUUAGAGUU
rnacentral:rRNA from 1 species